UACGUAGGGGGCUAGCGUUGUCCGGAUUUAUUGGGCGUAAAGAGCGUGUAGGCGGCCAGGUAGGUCUGCUGUGAAAACUCGAGGCUCAACCUCGAGACGUCGGCGGAAACCAUCUGGCUAGAGUCCGGAAGAGGAGAGUGGAAUUCCUGGUGUAGCGGUGGAAUGCGCAGAUAUCAGGAGGAACACCAAUGGCGAAGGCAGCUCGCUGGGACGUGACUGACGCUGAGACGCGAAAGCGUGGGGAGCAAACAGG
rnacentral:rRNA from 1 species